AUAUCAAUAAGCGGAGGAAAAGAAACUAACCAGGAUUCCCCUAGUAACGGCGAGUGAAGCGGGAACAGCUCAAAUUUUAAAUCUGGCCGGCGUGGUCGGUCCGAGUUGUAAUUUGAAGAAGCGGUUAUCACGUUUUCGUUUGGGUUUAAGUUCCUUGGAACAGGACAUCAGAGAGGGUGAGAAUCCCGUCCGGUUGAUCAAUGCGUUUUACGAUACACUUUCUAAGAGUCAAGUCGUUUGGGAUUGCAGCUUAAAAUGGGAGGUAAAUUUCUCCUAAGGCUAAAUAUUGGCGAGAGACCGAUAGCGCACAAGUA
rnacentral:rRNA from 1 species